GAGGCAUCGUGACACAUCACUCGUCCCAGCACCAUAGUGAUGUGAAUUUCCUACCAGCACUCAACUCACAGGGGGGAUACUAAUACACCCCUGGCUGAGUAUUCAGGUGAUGUGACUCUCCUGCCUGGUUCUGCCCACAGGUGGGAUUCUGGCAUAUACCUAGGUUCGGAUUACAGGAAUAAUAAUGACUGUCAUGUGACAGCCCAGCCAAUAGACGAGAUUCUGACUCUCAUAGCUGAGCUUAGAACAAUCACCAAUAGAUGAAAAAAGAUUCAAGGAAGACACAUUUGCUUUUUAUUCACUCAUCACUUCCCAUCACUAUGCUGACCAGAGUCAAUGUGAGCAGAGUUGAGAAUAGCAGUUUUCUGGCAGGAGAGCCACUUCUCAGCGAAAAAUGACACACUCAAAGUAUAAAUCUUUCAUGGAAGGCUCACAUAUUUUCAGCAAAUUAAGCAUAUGCAUGAAUAAAAU
rnacentral:lncRNA from 1 species